GCCAGGCACUGUGGUGCACACCUGUGAUCCCAGUGACUAGGGAGGCUGAGGCAGGAGGAUCACAAGUUUGAGAUCAGCCUUGGCAACUUAGAGAGGCCCCAAGCAACUUAGCGAGACCCUGUCUCAA
rnacentral:sRNA from 1 species